rnacentral:rRNA from 1 species
AUACGUAGGGUGCAAGCGUUAAUCGGAAUUACUGGGCGUAAAGCGUGCGCAGGCGGUUUUGUAAGACAGUGGUGAAAUCCCCGGGCUCAACCUGGGAACUGCCAAUGUGACUGCAAGGCUGGAGUGCGGCAGAGGGGGAUGGAAUUCCGCGUGUAGCAGUGAAAUGCGUAGAUAUGCGGAGGAACACCGAUGGCGAAGGCAAUCCCCUGGGCCUGCACUGACGCUCAUGCACGAAAGCGUGGGGAGCAAACAGGAUUAGAUACCCUGGUAGUCCACGCCCUAAACGAUGUCAACUGGUUGUUGGGGAUUUAUUUUCUCAGUAACGAAGCUAACGCGUGAAGUUGACCGCCUGGGGAGUACGGCCGCAAGGUUAAAACUCAAAUGAAUUGACGGGG